GCUUCUUUUUGCUAGACUUUUACCAUUCUCCCCCUCCAAAUUAGGGUCAGGGUUUAUCCGUUGAUGCCCGGCCCGUCACCGUUGGCGAUGACGCAGCGCCGGAGAAGCCCCAUCAAAACCCUAUUCUCUGCCUUCUCCUCCUUAUUCCUCUUCGUCGCGGUCGCCGCCGCGGCGACCUCGCCGGAGGCGGGUUCCCGUGGCGCCGAGAGGUCCGCCCUUCUUCAGCUGAAGAGCUCGGUCACCGACCCCGCCGGCCUCCUCCGCCGGUGGUCCGCUGCCCCGGGCUCCGACCCCUGCUCCUGGCCCGGCGUCUUCUGCGACGCGAGAUCCCGCGUCGUCUCUCUCAACAUCUCCGCCAGAGCGAGCGACGGCGUUUCCCCUUCUGCUUCCCGCUCUCGAUCAGGGCCGUUCGUCCGUCGCUGCCCGGAUCCCCGCCGACGGUUGGUUGGGAAGCUGAGCCCCGCGUUGGGGAAGCUCUCGGAGCUCAGGGUUCUCUCCCUACCUUUCCACAGCUUCGACGGCGAGAUCCCCGGCGAGAUCUGGGCGCUGGAGAACCUGGAGGUGCUCAAUCUCGAGGGGAAUUCGCUCUCGGGCACCCUCCCUUCGCGGUUCCCUCCGCGUCUCCGUGUUUUGAAUUUGGCGUCUAAUCGGAUCCAAGGUGAGAUCCCACUCUCCCUCUCGAGCUUGGGAUGUCUAGAAACCCUGGACCUUUCUGGAAACCAGCUCAACGGUUCAAUUCCUCGGUUUCCGGGUAAUUUCACUAAAUUGAGAGAGGUGUAUCUCUCUUUUAACCGGCUCGAAGGGCCGAUCCCCGAUGAAAUUGGUGCUGGAUGCCUCAACCUAGAGUACCUGGACCUGUCGGGAAAUCAACUGGUUGGUGGCAUUCCUCCUAAUCUGAGCAGUUGCACUGAGCUUCGAGCUCUGCUGCUAUUCUCCAAUCGUUUGGAUGGUGUCAUCCCUUCUGAUCUUGGAAGGCUCAGAAAGCUUCAAGUUUUAGAUAUUUCAAGGAACAGCUUGUGUGGCCCCGUGCCUGCAGAGCUUGGAAACUGCUUAGAAUUAUCUGUCCUUGUUCUUUUAAAUCCGCAUGAUCCAAUGCCUAGCGACAAUUUUUCAAACUAUGUUGAUGAUGAUGAAUUCAAUAGCUUUGAGGGUGGAUUUCCUGGAAACAUCACGGCCCUGCCGAAGCUUAGGGUGCUUUGGGCUCCAAGAGGGAUGCUGGAAGGGGAGAUUCCAAGCAAUUGGGGAACUUGUGAGAGCUUGGAAAUGGUUAAUCUGGGUCACAAUUUAUUCACCGGAGGGGUUCCAAAGGUGUUUAGUGAAUGCAAAAAUCUUAAAUUUCUUAAUCUCAGCUUGAAUAAAUUGACUGGUUGGCUUGACGAAGACCUUCCUGUGCCUUGUAUGUCUGUCUUUGAUGUCAGUGGGAAUCAGUUAUCAGGCUCUAUUCCGACGUUUAGUAACAAACAGUGCCCUUCAUCGCGGUUUUCGCCCAAUGAUCUGUUAUCUGCUUAUUCUACAUUCUUCAUGUAUGAGACUUAUAGGGGACUGUCUUUGCCUUCUUUUGAAUCUGCUGGUGACUUUGCAAUAUAUCAUAAUUUUGGCAAGAACAAUUUCACGGGUACCCUGCCUUCUUUACCACUUGCCACCAAUAGAUAUGGAAACCAGAGCAUUUAUGCAUUUCUUGUAGAACGGAAUAAUCUCAGUGGAUCAUUAAAUGCCAUGAUCUUGGAGAAGUGUGGGAACUUGAAUGGUUUGAUCGCAGACCUCAGUAACAAUAUGAUCUCUGGUGGGAUUUCAUCAGAAAUUGGUGCCAUGUGCAGAUCUCUUAUGGUUUUUGAUGUAGCAGGUAAUAACAUUGCUGGAACAAUUCCUGCUAGUCUUGGUUUAUUGCGUAAGCUUGUUAGUCUGGACUUGAGUAGGAACUGGCUUCAGGACCAGAUACCUGCAAGUAUUAGCCAGUUAAAGAGCUUGGAGUAUCUAUCUUUAGCUGGUAAUAACAUUAGCGGUCACAUUCCCUCUGGCUUGGCUCAGUUACCAUCUCUCAAGGUUUUGGAUCUCUCGUCAAAUUCUCUCACUGGUGAGAUUCCUGGUGACCUUGUGAACUUGAGAAAUCUCACUGUCCUUCUUCUUAACAAUAAUAAGCUUUCUGGAAAGAUUCCUUCUGCUUUUGCUAAUGUGACAUCACUUUCCAUGUUUAAUGUGUCAUUCAAUAAUUUGUCUGGGCCAUUGCCAUUGAAUGCCAGCACGGUAAGGUGUGAUAGAGUCCUUGGAAACCCUUUACUCAAGUCUUGUCGGGGAUUUUCUCUUUCUACUGCACCAUCAGAUGCGGAAGGGCACAGUGGGAAUUCGCAAGCAUAUGCAGAUCCACCACCAGGAAGCUCUCCGACUAAGAGUGGCAAUAGUGGUUUCAGUUCUAUUGAGAUUGCCUCAAUUACUUCUGCAGCAGCCAUUUUUUCUGUCCUAUUAGUUCUGAUUGUCCUUUAUAUAUACGCAAGGAAAUGUGCACUGAGGUCUGCUGUUCAGUCUGCUGGAAGAAGGGAAGUCACAGUUUUUGUGGACAUUGGGGUUCCACUGACUUAUGAGACUGUUGUCCAAGCCACAGGGAAUUUCAAUGCAAGCAACUGUAUUGGAAGUGGAGGCUUUGGUGCCACAUACAAGGCUGAGAUUUCACCAGGAGUCUUAGUGGCUAUAAAGAGACUUGCAGUUGGAAGGAUCCAAGGUGUCCAACAGUUCCAUGCAGAGAUUAAGACUCUUGGGAGGUGGCGGCAUCCCAAUCUUGUGACUCUAAUAGGAUAUCAUGUUGGUGACACAGAAAUGUUUCUCAUUUAUAAUUAUCUGCCCGGGGGUAAUUUGGAAAGGUUUAUUCAGGAAAGAUCAAAGAGACCUCUGGAUUGGAGGAUGCUUCACAAGAUUGCUUUAGACGUUGCAUGUGCACUUGCUCAUCUGCAUGACCAUUGUGUGCCCCGAAUCCUUCAUCGGGAUGUUAAACCAAGCAACAUUUUGUUGGACAAUGAAUUCAACGCUUAUCUAUCUGACUUUGGAUUGGCAAGGCUUCUAGGAAAUUCUGAAACACAUGCAACCACUGGUGUGGCUGGGACUUUUGGGUAUGUCGCUCCAGAAUAUGCAAUGACUUGUCGUGUCUCUGACAAAGCAGAUGUGUAUAGCUACGGUGUGGUGCUACUGGAAUUACUUUCAGACAAGAAAGCUUUGGACCCCUCCUUCUCUCCAUAUGGUCAUGGUUUCAAUAUCGUUACUUGGGCAUGCAUGCUGCUGAAGAAAGGCCGGGCACGUGAGUUUUUCACCGAAGGGCUGUGGGAUGUGGCACCCCAUGAUGAUUUGGUGGAAACCUUACACUUGGGUGUCAAGUGUACAGUUGAUUCGCUUUCUAUUAGGCCAACAAUGAAGCAAGUUGUUCGACGGCUAAAGGAACUUCAGCCUCCACCUCGUUAGCACCAAUAAUAACGUGUUCACACUUAGAAAGCCUCGGAAAAGUUCUGCAUGAAAUGAGAGGUUUUUGAUAUAGAUGCAUGCUGCUUCGUGCAGAAUAAGUUUGCAAUUUCUUCAUAUUUUGUUGCCUCAAAUGAUAGAAAGGAAGCUUUUAAUGUAUGAUGGCAGGUGAUAUUGUAUAGAUGCAUGCAAUCUGUUAGUUCUGCAGCAACCGAGGCAUCCUAAGUUCUUGAGUGUCCUGGAGUUAAUGCAAGUCCAUGUAAGCUGCAGAAGAAUCUUCAAGAGAACCGCUCGCAAAAAUUCCAGCACGAGACAACAGCUCCUUGCACCAUGGCACAGAAACCGUUGUUUGGAUGGUUGGCAGGAGAAUGAGUCGCAGAUAUGUUAUUCUUUGCUGGUGAUGCUCCUGAUAUCAGGUUCAGGUCUUUUUGUGACACUGGCUGCUUUCUUGGGUGAGAAAAGAGAACAAUAAUGGGUUCCUCCGGAAGCAUUGAGUUCCAGUUUCUGUGAACUCGGAAUGACAGAUGAAAUAACUGUCGCUUUUGUCUAACCAUGCAGCCAGGAUGGUAUUCCUAUGAAUGCAAUUGGAAAUCAUGAUCUAUCACCAAAGUCGGUGCUGACUUUUCCUGUGAGACUAUAUAAUAUGUUUGUGCAGUCAAUUGGACUUGCGUUUGAGGGGUGAUUUGAAGACUGCCUCAAAUCAGUUUUUUUGCAGCAGUGAGUAACAGAAUACAAGGCCCAAAGGAAAUAAACUUUUAUUCAAGGUUACUGGAUGGGCAUACGCCUAUCUGGUGUGUGAUCGGUUUAGCAUCUUCACCACAUGCUUGUUUUGGUUUGUGUGAUCAGACCAGGAGAUUACCCAAGUCUUUGUAAUGGUCAAAACAACAUCAUCCUUUGUUAACUUUUAUUUUCAUCAGGUGCUGGUGCCUAUAAGUCUUACUUUCCAUCAAAUGUAUAAUAUUUGUUUACCAUGUUUGCAAUCUCGCUGAUAGAUUAGAUCCAAGCAGAAAAUGGUUGACAGUGUAUAUGUCCAGUCAUCAGAAGCUACUCUUUUUUCCCCGGUGGCUGUAUUGCUGUAUUGGUUCUUUUAAAUGAAUAUACUCACUGAUAAAUCCUGAAGAAGGAAUGAGGUGAAUGCAAAUUUGUGUUCUUUGCUCCAUUCA